rnacentral:rRNA from 1 species
AGCUCCAAUAGCGUAUACUAAAGUUGUUGCAGUUAAAAAGCUCGUAGUUGGAUUUCUGGAUAGCAUCCAGGUCCGCCCCUCGCGGGGUGUGUACUCGGUGCUGUUAUCCAUCAUCGGGGAGAACAUAUCUGUCAUUUAUUUGUCGGGUAUGGUAUCCUCGUCAUUUACUGUGAGCAAACUAGAGUGUUCAAAGCAGGCUU